UACGGGGGGGGCUAGCGUUAUUCGGAAUUAUUGGGCGUAAAGGGCGCGUAGGCGGCGCGGUAAGUCAAAGGUGAAAUCCUUCGGCUCAACUGAGGAACUGCCUUUGAAACUGCCGUGCUUGAGUCCGGGAGGGGGUAGCGGAAUUCCCAGUGUAGCGGUGAAAUGCGUAGAUAUUGGGAGGAACACCAGUGGCGAAGGCGGCUACCUGGACCGGUACUGACGCUGAGGCGCGAAAGCGUGGGGAGCAAACAGG
rnacentral:rRNA from 1 species